rnacentral:lncRNA from 1 species
CUCCAUAUAAAUUAUUAGGGGUAGAAUGGGUAGGAUUAGGAUGGGUGGGGCUACAAUGAUGUAAUUUAUUAGGGGUAGAAUGGGUAGGAUUAGGAUGGGUGGGGCUAAAAUGAUGUCAUUUAUUAGGGGUAGAAUGGGUAGGAUUAGGGUUAGAGAGAAAGAGGUAGGACGGUAAGAUGGGAUAAAACAGAUUGUUGAGCAUUCAUGGGAGGGAUGAGGAAAGCAUAGACAGAAUUAUUGAUGAGGGAGGAUUAGGGUGGGUGGGGCUAAAAUGAUGUAAUUUAUUAGGGGUAGAAUGGGUAGGAUUAGGAUGGGUGGGGCUAAAAUGAUGUGUCUGAGGGGUGGAAAUGGUAGGAUUAGGGACGGUGGGGUUGUGUCCAUAAGUGGUGAAAUGGGUAGGUUUUAGUUAUGGUAGGGGUCAGUCGGGUUAGGGUUAGGGUUAGGAUUAGAAAAAAUCCAAGAGCUGAAGCACAGUCCAGCUCUGGUAAUGCACAGUCCUUCAAUACUCCUUCUGGCCGCUCUCCUGCCUCGGCCAAGGCCUGCCCCCACGGCCUAGGCCCACUACUUCACCACCAAUAU